rnacentral:rRNA from 1 species
AACGAACGCUGGCGGCAGGCCUAAUACAUGCAAGUCGAGCGCUCUAGCAAUAGGGAGCGGCGCACGGGUGCGUAACGCGUGGGAAUAUGCCUUUAGGUACGGAACAACCAAGGGAAACUUUGGCUAAUACCGUAGAAUAUCUUCGGAUCAAAGAUUCAUCGCCUAAAGAUUAGCCCGCGUCUGAUUAGCUAGUUGGUGGGGUAAAGGCCUACCAAGGCGACGAUCAGUAGCUGGUCUGAGAGGAUGAUCAGCCACACUGGAACUGAGACACGGUCCAGACUACUACGGGAGGCAGCAGUAAGGAAUAUUGGACAAUGGGCGAAAGCCUGAUCCAGCCAUGCCGCGUGAGUGAUGAAGGCCCUAGGAUUGUAAAGCUCUUUCACCGAUGAAGAUAAUGACGGUAGUCGGAGAAGAAGCCCCGGCUAACUUCGUGCCAGCCGCCGCGGUAA